rnacentral:rRNA from 1 species
AAGCAUAUUACCGAAGCUAUGAAUUCUAACAUUAGUUAGUCUGGUAGGGGAGCAUUCCAGUCAGCGUUGAAGCAGAGUCGUAAGGCUUUGUGGAGCGUCUGGAAAAGCAAAUGUAGGCAUAAGUAACGAUAAUGCGGGCGAGAAACCCGCACACCGGAAGACUAAGGCUUCCUGAUCAACGCUAAUCGGAUCAGGGUUAGUCGGGACCUAAGGCAAACCCGCUGUAGUGGCGGGGUAGUCGAUGGACAACUGGU